rnacentral:rRNA from 1 species
GGAGUUACAAAAGAAAGUUAUAAAUGAAGCGGUCUGGAAAGGCCCGCCAAAGACGGUAACAGCCCGGUAGUUGAAAUAGCUUUCCCUCCAGAGUGGAUCCUGAGUACGGCGGAACACGUGAAAUUCCGUCGGAAUCCGGGAGGACCAUCUCCCAAGGCUAAAUACUCCCUAGUGACCGAUAGUGAACCAGUACCGUGAGGGAAAGGUGAAAAGCACCCCGGAAGGGGAGUGAAACAGUUCCUGAAACCGUGUGCCUACAAGUAGUUAGAGCCCGUUAAUGGGUGAUAGCGUGCCUUUUGUAGAAUGAACCGGCGAGUUACGAUUUGUUGCAAGGUUAAGCGGAAAAAGCGGAGCCGUAGCGAAAGCGAGUCUGAAUAGGGCGCAUAAGUAACAGGUCGUAGACCCGAAACCAGGUGAUCUACCCAUGUCCAGGAUGAAGGUAAGGUAAUACUUACUGGAGGUCCGAACCCACGCACGUUGAAAAGUGCGGGGAUGAGGUGUGGGUAGCGGAGAAAUUCCAAUCGAACUUGGAGAUAGCUGGUUCUCUCCGAAAUAGCUUUAGGGCUAGCCUCGAGGUAAAGAGUCAUGGAGGUAGAGCACUGUUUGGACUAGGGGCCCUUCUCGGGUUACCGAAUUCAGAUAAACUCCGAAUGCCAUGUACUUAUACUCGGGAGUCAGACUGCGAGUGAUAAGAUCCGUAGUCGAAAGGGAAACAGCCCAGACCACCAGUUAAGGUCCCCAAAUAUAUGUUAAGUGGAAAAGGAUGUGGGGUUGCUUAGACAACCAGGAUGUUGGCUUAGAAGCAGCCACCAUUGAAAGAGUGCGUAAUAGCUCACUGGUCGAGUGACCCCGCGCCGAAAAUGUACCGGGGCUAAACAUAUUACCGAAACUGUGGAUGAACCUCUUUAGAGGUUCGUGGUAGGAGAGCGUUCUAAGGGCGGUGAAGUCAGACCGGAAGGACUGGUGGAGCGCUUAGAAGUGAGAAUGCCGGUAUGAGUAGCGAAAGAAGGGUGAGAAUCCCUUCCACCGAAUAUCUAAGGUUUCCUGAGGAAGGCUCGUCCGCUCAGGGUUAGUCGGGACCUAAGCCGAGGCCGAUAGGCGUAGGCGAUGGACAACAGGUAGAGAUUCCUGUACCAGUGCUAAUUGUUUAACCGAUGGGGUGACACAGAAGGAUAGGGAAUCGCACGAAUGGAAAUGUGCGUCCAAGCAGUGAGUGUGAGAA